UCUUUGUUAGUAUAGUGGUUAGUAUCUCCGCCUGUCACGCGGAAGACCGGGGUUCGAUUCCCCGACAAAGAG